GAUGAACGCUAGCUACAGGCUUAACACAUGCAAGUCGAGGGGCAGCGCAGUGUAGCAAUACAUGGGCGGCGACCGGCGCACGGGUGCGUAACGCGUAUCCAACCUUCCCGUUACUCAGGGAUAGCCUUCCGAAAGGGAGAUUAAUACCUGAUGGUGUUCAAAUUCCGCAUGUUAUUUGAACUAAAGAUUUAUCGGUAACGGAUGGGGAUGCGUGACAUUAGGUAGAUGGCGGGGUAACGGCCCACCAUGCCUACGAUGUCUAGGGGUUCUGAGAGGAAGGUCCCCCACACUGGAACUGAGACACGGUCCAGACUCCUACGGGAGGCAGCAGUGAGGAAUAUUGGUCAAUGGCCGGAAGGCUGAACCAGCCAAGUAGCGUGAAGGAUUAAGGUUCUAUGGAUUGUAAACUUCUUUUAUACGGGAAUAAAACCUCCCACGUGUGGGGGCUUGUAUGUACCGUAUGAAUAAGCAUCGGCUAACUCCGUGCCAGCCGCCGCCGUAAGAC
rnacentral:rRNA from 1 species